rnacentral:rRNA from 1 species
CAGCAGCCGCGGUAAUACGUAGGGUGCGAGCGUUAAUCGGAAUUACUGGGCGUAAAGCGUGCGCAGGCGGUUUGUUAAGACAGAUGUGAAAUCCCCGGGCUCAACCUGGGAACUGCAUUUGUGACUGGCAAGCUAGAGUGUGGCAGAGGGGGGUGGAAUUCCGCGUGUAGCAGUGAAAUGCGUAGAUAUGCGGAGGAACACCGAUGGCGAAGGCAGCCCCCUGGGCCAACACUGACGCUCAUGCACGAAAGCGUGGGGAGCAAACAGGAUUAGAUACCCCCGUAGUCCCUGUCUCUUAUAC